GACGAACGCUGGCGGCGUGCUUAACACAUGCAAGUCGAACGGAAAGGCCCUGCUUUUGUGGGGUGCUCGAGUGGCGAACGGGUGAGUAACACGUGAGUAACCUGCCCUUGACUUUGGGAUAACUUCAGGAAACUGGGGCUAAUACCGGAUAGGAGCUCCUGCUGCAUGGUGGGGGUUGGAAAGUUUCGGCGGUUGGGGAUGGACUCGCGGCUUAUCAGCUUGUUGGUGGGGUAGCGGCUUACCAAGGCUUUGACGGGUAGCCGGCCUGAGAGGGUGACCGGCCACAUUGGGACUGAGAUACGGCCCAGACUCCUACGGGAGGCAGCAGUGGGGAAUAUUGCACAAUGGGCGGAAGCCUGAUGCAGCAACGCCGCGUGCGGGAUGACGGCCUUCGGGUUGUAAACCGCUUUCGCCUGUGACGAAGCGUGAGUGACGGUAAUGGGUAAAGAAGCACCGGCGAACUACGUG
rnacentral:rRNA from 1 species